GUAGACGCACGCUUCUACAUAAGUAAAGACAAAGAAUAUGCAAUAACAUUGCAAGCAGUAUGUGAUGCAGAACUUCGAUUCUUAGAUUGCUUUGCUGGAUUUGCUGGAUCAGUGGCAGAUCGGCGAGUCUUUUGAAAUUCAGACCUAUGGAAGGAAGUCAAUGCAAAUAAAGCAUCUUAUUUUGUAGAUCAGGAUUACAUUAUUGGAGACAAAGCUUAUCCAUGUUUGACAUGGUUAAUACCACCAUUCAUUAAUUUUGGGCAACUCACACAGCUCAGAAGAAAUUUAAUACAAUACUUGCCAGUAUGAAACAAGUUAUCGAAAGAGCAUUUGCGCUGCUGAAAGGUAGAUGGAGACAACUAAAAUUCUUGGAUAUGAAUCGUGAUGACAUGAUUCCUUUUGUUAUAUUAGCAAGCUGUGUAUUACACAAUAUUUGUCUUGAUAAUGGACUAGAAGAUUAUGAAGACUUUAUUAUCAAAGGGCAUGAUGAUGAUAAUGAUGAUGAUAAUCAUUUUGUUAGGGAACCAGUAAAUUUACAAGACGAUCCUGAGGGUAUACUAAAACGACAAUAUCUCACUACUUUAAUUCCCUGAAUUAAUAUGAUAUAUUAAUAUAUUGUUAUAAUUAUUAAUUUAAAACAUUUAAACUAAGAUUCUAUAGCCUAGAGCUAUAUUUUUAUGUGUUUAGAAUCAGUCAUCAUCAAAUUAUUGUCAAAGAGUAAUUUUUAUAAUUUUGUAACGUGGUACAUAUGUUAGUAUAUAUAGUGUAAAAAGUAGUAAUAGUAUGUGUUAUGUAAUGUAGUAGUUUGUAAAUAAUAUGAUAAAAAAUAGUCAUUUAUUAUUGAAAAAAUAAGUCAUUUAUUAAUUUUACUUGUAUUUUAUAAUCUUACUCUUUAAUGAACGAAUGUGCAACUAGAAUGAAAUUGUAUGGAAGAGAAUGAUAUGAUAGAAAAAGAUGAAAAGGUUUUAUUAUAUUCGUUUUCUUAUAAUGUAAAAUGCUAUCGGCAAUACAUGUGCAUCCGUAAUACUAGCUCACAGCCAUUACAAAAUUAUAAUAUUGCAAACAAACUAAAAUCUAGUAUAUAGCUGCAUUUUAUCACAAGUUGCAACAAAAUAUUAAAGAUAAUAAAAGCCAUUUUUAAUCUCAAUAAUACGAACAAAAAUAAUGUACCAUAGAUUUC